GAACGGUUGGCUCAGAGGAAGAGCACUCGCAUGAAAAGCGAGACAUCGCGGGUUCGAGUCCCGCAUCGUUCA